GGGGACGCUAGGUUCCGGAACCUGACCUGAGCUGGGGCCUGUGCUUCCAGCGGGUGGUGGGGGGCCUGGUGUGCUGGCAUCAAGUAAGCCGACUACCUCGGCAAAGGCUUAGGGACAAGAGACCAGCAGCCUGAACUGGCUGGGGCAUCCGGAAGGCUUAGAUCUUGUGGCCAAGAGUUCAGACCGUGGCGAAGUGGAGAGUGACAUGCAGUUGGAUGGCGGUGACUGCGUGCAUUCCACAAUCACGGGCUACUUCAAUUCUGCCUGCUGAGCUGAUUUAAUAAUCUGGAAGAGGAUUAUUCUCCCCCAUCUGGAAGAGGAUUAUUCUCUAUAAUCCCAGUUAGAGACACAAUGACAUAAACAUCGCUAUGAUGUCAGAAGUGGGAUCCAAAGUAGAGCUUAUAAUGACACCUAGGAGUGCUGAGUGACCAAGCAAGGUACCCACCAGGCCGAUUAUGUCCAUUGUUCUCUUGGAGCAGCUGGUCAUCAUGGGAAAGGGUGCCACACUGGGAAUGCAAGCUGUCCUUGCUUCUGAACCAAGACUACUAUUGUGCCAGGAAGAGGGUGGGAAAAGAAGCCAAUAAAACUUUUCUUUUGAGUGAUUUGCAGCUUUUAACAAACUGAACCUGCUUAUUUCUGUGAACCAACCAGUGAUCUCUUAUGGCUGUUCAAAAGUAACAAGAGAGAUAUCACCUUUUGUCAUAACUCAAGUCUUAUGAAUGGCCCUCACCAUAAUGAUGCUUUUUGACUGAGCUCUUCUCUAACCUGAAUGCAAGAGGUUAGGCAUGAAUAUCAUC
ensembl:lncRNA LINC01278 long intergenic non-protein coding RNA 1278